CCUGCUUCUUGCCAUCGCGAACACCCGCCCCCAACUCCACCGCCUCUCUCCAGCGUUCUCCUUUCUCUCUCCACCACCUCCAUCACCUCGUAUCUCUCUCUCUCUGGAGCAAGAAGAAAACAAGGGGAAGAGCAAAGAGGUUACUGCAGAGAAAAAUUUGGAGGAGGAGAUGAUGAGGGACACGCCAAUCUAUUGAAGCUGCUAUCAAGAAUGCAACAUAGUAGCGCAAUGCAAAAUGUCAGGGAGUAGAAGAUGAAGUGAAAAAGAUGGACUAAAGGGCAUGUCCAAAUUCUUUUUAAUACAUUCUACUACUGUGAGUGAAUCGCCUUCAAGGCAAACCUUUGUGUGUUUCAGAUGUCGGAUAGCCAAUAGAAAAUCUUCCCAAGCUGCUCGAAGUUCAGCUUGGAGUAUCGAAGUAGUUUGAAACUUUCUUGAUCCAGCAUAUAAUACAAGGCCUGUUUCAACCCUUACGAUAUAUAAAACCGACGCCAGCCUCCUCCCCUUUCAAUGAUGCAUCAAAAUUAACCUUUACGAAACCACAGGGUGGGGGUACCCAAGAAACAAACCUUGAUGGAGGUAGUAAUGAGCACCCCAAGCUGUCAGUAUCCCAGUGCCGUAAGUACGUUGAUAUAGCUGUAUAAAUCGAAUUUAAGACUCAGUAAUUUGCUGGGUUGGAUCAUAUAUAAAUAAGAUGCUCAGACGGACAUCCCAAGUUAUCCAAGACCAUGUUCGGUACUUAGACUAAUGAAAUUGAUAGCGUCCCGUCGUUACUUCGUUCCUAAGGAAGCCCAGACAAGGCAUUUAAUUUUAAGAAACAUCAAUAUCAUAAUGAAAAUGCUUUGAGACUCCCGUAAAUCAUAUAGAAAAAGUUCAUCAGGCCCACAAUCAUUGACAUGGCAACUUCACAACCAAUCAAUCUACCACCAAAUUUGGCAACAAAGUCCGGAGUUACAUCAAGCUUUCCGCCUGGCAAGUAGAUUGUUCAUGUACAGUUUAUAACAGCUGUACAGGUAUUACCAUUUGGCACACCAUGACAUAGUAAAGAGUUUGCUCAGGAUUGCCAACGAAGAAAUGAGAAAUUCGAGUCCAAUUAAAAGAUUCCCUAGAUAUUCAAGUGCGAACCCAAUUUAACUUAAAAAAGUUACA